UUGUCUUUAACCUCCCUUUGUUGUGGAGAAAAUGUGUCACUAAUCAGUGGUCCAAGGGAUAUCUAGCUUUGGUUACUCAGUUCCUGCAGCAUAACAGAUAUGACUUAUGCCAGGGAAGGUAGAGGCUGAUUAUGGAGACACCCAGGAACAGGAAUAAGAAGGGAUAGGUCUGCUCCACGUAGAACCUCCCCAGAUCGGAAGUUAAGUCUUGGAGAGUUUCCAAAGUGCUGAAGUAAAAAGGAGACUUGGAGGGCCUUUGCUUAAUGAGCAAGAGGCUUGUGUCCUCCCAAGAACAUGAGGGAGUUCAGAAGGGAGCUAUAGCUCACAGACAGAAACCUGCCCGCUCACCCCAUCCCUCGUGACUGGGAGCAUGUUUGCUCAGAAUUUUCUAAGAGGACUCUCCCUUCAAAAAUCCAAUUUGCUCCCAGAAUGUUGUUUAGCCUCUGAGAAUCUCACUCUUUCAUUUCCAUCUGUGAAUGGACAUAGAUGUGUUGCUCAGGGAUCAGAAACAUCAGAGUCCAGGGCCCAGUGGCAUGGUGUUGCAUUAGUAGUUAGAAAAGUAAUUGGUCAGCUCUACUGUAAAAGAAAUAAGUAUGUAGUACAGUUUUGUAAAUGUCAGGUCUGUUCUAUUGUUUUGUGAUCUGAAGACUGUCAAACUGGUUGAUAAUCAAAGAAAAGGUUGGUGGUUAGAAUAAGUAAAAUUUCAGUUAGAAAGAUAUAGCUUACCAGUUUUCCAUGUGCUUAAGGAAGUCAAGAAUAUUUCAGGUUGUUGAGAACUGUUGUAAAAUGGAAUUGAAGCUAGUGUCUCUCACCUUCUUAGGUGUAUCAGAGAGAGGAAGUGGAAGGCCAGUAGUAGCAUCUUCAUACUUACUUUUGCCAGCCCAGCCUCCAUUUCAAAGACUUUGUCUUCCAUCCUAUCCAAUGACAUGGUCAGGGAUGGGCUCUGAGGAGGCAGUGAGGCCCCACCUUGGUUUGCUCCACUGUGGUGUGUAGUCUCCAAACAGCUUAAGGGUUUUUAAGUUUUCUCACGAUUACCUCCACUCCACUCAUCUACUAUCAGCAUCAGAAAGGUUAACAUCCCUGGGACCAUUCUACUUAUAAAAGAGAUGAACUAGUGUGCUUUCUCCCCUUUUCCAGGUGUGCCAUCCAUAUACAAUCUCCUCUUGGCCAAGUUCAACAAAUGUUUCCAGGGAACCCCGUGGGUUGAGGCAAAGUAGCCAAGAUGUAUUGAGUUAAGUUUUUCUAGAGGACAAAAGUAUUUCUUGUCCCUUUUCCCUCAUGCUCAUAUGUUUUAGCUGAGGCGUAAAUGGCCAAGUUGAGUAAUAUCUGUGGAACUGAGACAGAGAGCCAGGGACCCAUGUACCCAGGGACCAGUCCCCUGGGGAAUCACACAGUGGCUCAGACUAGACUGCUCUAUCCCACCAGAACUCUGCUGCUGUUCAUUUCCAUCAGGACCACCCAGGAAAGCAAAUAAGUUAGCCUUCUCAUCAUUAGGUCACCUAAUCUCUUGGGUUGCAGGAUGAGAGCAUAUAUAGAUCUCCUGUUUAGAGAGUGUGUUCAUAAUUGUAGAAAGGGAUAGAAAAUGGAAUAACCAAGAGGCUGUGUCAUUUUUUAAGAGGAUGGCAAGGAUGACCUCAAAUGAGCUCAACAAAACUGGGAAUCCAAGGAAUGGUGCUUGUAGGGAAAGAGAGGUCAGUUGUGGUCCUUAAACCUCUUGGCACCUUGUGCGGGUUAUAAAACAAGGAGCUGGAGUAAAAUUGCCCUUACCCCCAAUCCAAAUGCUGUCCAGGAUUUAGGAGCUACCCAACCUGUGGUUAUAUGGUGUUGGUUUCCAUUUUUUGUUUGUUUGCUUGUUUCCAAAAUAGCCUUGCUUGGUACUGCAUGGAAAGUUCAAGCUUUUCUUCUUGCCCGCUCAGGGCUGGCCUCUUCCCCGUGUCUUCACAGCGUCCCUAAGGAAGAUUUUUGCAGCACUCUCUGGAGCUGAGGGGAGUGAAAUUUGGUCCAGAGAAGGCGGAAGGAAAUAGUUUUCCUGUUUCCUUUUCUCGAGGUGGAUGUCCUCAGGCUUCCUUCACACCUCCUUCUCAUGGGUGCGGCUGGCAGUACAGUCAGGCUGUGGAGGAGGGCUGAGAAGAAAGGGGCACUGGUCCAGCCCCAGGUUUGGUCUGAGACAGGUACACAGCAGAUACCAUCCCACCUUCCUCUCUAAAGAACAGGCCAGCCACACAUAUAACCCUUUCCCUACUUUACUAAUGUAUCCCUUAUGUGGUACCAGCAAUGGAGGACAGGCAGACUUACCCCCUGCCAUCUAGAGAGAAUGUUGUUAUUACCCGUAAAACUUGACCACCCCCAUAUCCCACUCCUUUUUGUAAAAACAAAUGCUUAAACCUGUGAGCCUGCCGUUCCUUUCUAUGUGUUAAUCAGUUUCCUUCCAUUUGAGCUGUGUGGGAGGGAAGGGCAUUGAAAUUGUAGGUUGUAAUCUUGUGCCAACCAAUAAAAACCAGUAUUUCACACAC
rnacentral:lncRNA from 1 species